GAUGUACUUCCUUCGUCCGGAAAUACUUGUCAUUGACAUGGAUGUAUCUAGACGUAUUUUAGUUCUAGAUACAUCCAUUUUGAUGACAAGUAUUUUUGGACGGAGGGAGUAAUAU
rnacentral:pre_miRNA from 1 species